rnacentral:rRNA from 1 species
CCCCUAGUAACGGCGAGUGAAGAGGGAAAAGCUCAAAUUUUGAAUCUGAUGACUUUGGCGUCCGAGUUGUAAUCUAGAGAAGUGUUUUCUGCCUUGGACCACACAUAAAUUCCCUGGAAUGGGGUGUCAUAGAGGGUGAGAAUCCCGUUUGUGGUGUGGACUACCUUGGCUAUGURAUACACUCUCAACGAGUCGAGUUGUUUGGGAAUGCAGCUCAAAAUGGGUGGUAAAUUCCAUCUAAAGCUAAAUACUGGCGAGAGACCGAUAGCGAACAAGUUCCGUGAGGGAAAGAUGAAAAGCACUUUGGAAAGAGAGUGAAACAGUACGUGAAAUUGUUGAAAGGGAAGCUUUUGAAGUCAGUCACAUUGGUCRGAAUUCAGCCUGGCUUCUGCCUGGUGCACUUUCUGGCAAAUGGGUCAGCAUCAAUUUCGAUUGAGGGAGAAAGACUUGAGGAAUGUGGCUGUCUUCGGACAGUGUUAUAGCCUCUUGUUGUAUGUCUCAAUUGGGAUUGAGGAACGCAGCACGCCUUAUGGCCGGGGUUCCCCCUCAGAC